UUGAGGAUUUUGCCAGGACCUGCAAGCACCAAUAACAUCAUUACUAUCAAUAGCUGAACAAUAACAAUGAUGAAAUCAGUAAGAAACAUUGCCAGAAGCUACCUGGAACUAAAUACAUUUAUGACAAAUGAGUUGCAUAACCUAUAAAAUGAAAUGGACUAAAACAGUGGGAUUGGAAGAGAAUGAUCUAAGCCAUAGUUAUCAAAGCUAUACACUCAGUAAUGCAACUCAGCACAAACAGUACAGCAUUUUUAAGAUAAUAUCAUUAUG
rnacentral:misc_RNA from 1 species